GUUCAAUAAUAAAAAGGUUAAAAAAAAUCACUUCUUUUUUAGACGAAAAUCAUCGAGCUGUUUAACAUUGAACGGAUCAACGUGAUCAAACUUGUUAGGGUCAACGUUCAGCCACCGAACUCCGUCUUCCCAAUGGAAGAAUUGGAGAACAAUCUACGGAACCAUAGACAGAGAAGAAUCUGAAUGCUUCAACAAAUUCAAAAGCCCUUUCAAUGGCAUCACUAGCAACGCAUCUCUCCGCCUCCCUUUUCCUCAUCCCCAUUGGCCUUCGUCGCCUCCUCUGUUCUUCCUCCAUUUACCUCAACAACCCAUCUCUUUACCGAUCAAAAACCUGGUAUUUAUCAGAACCGAAAUGGAAAAAUUUCGAUUUAUAUUCCCUCAUCCUCCUCCUCCCCAUCGUCGCCUUCUCUGAAAUUUUCCUUUUUCUCGCUUUUUCCGGAAACCCCACUUACAGAUUCGCAUUCUCCCAGCAAUCACUGGCCAUUUUCUUCUUCUGGGCACUCGCCAUUCUCAUCGUUUUGCGGGAAAAUGUCGACCCUCUUCUUGUAAGUGAGAGUUUCAUCUUCGUUUUUGCUGGAAUCGCUUUUCUUGUUGAGUAUUCUGUGAUUGGUAAAGGGAUUACUGGUCUUGGUGGCGCCUUUUAUCACAUUUCUGGAGGAUUAACCAUUCUCUGCGCUUGUUCCUGCUUUUAUUUGUCUAUGAAACCAUCUGCAUUUUUCGCUGAAUUUCUACUUUCCUCUGGUUUAACGUUUAAGGGUACAUGGCUGUUUCAAGUUGGGUUGUCUUUGUAUACCAAGGCAUUUGCUUUGAAGGGUUGUCGUGCAAUGUUGGUCUUGCCUGCUACUGGAGAUGCUUUUGUACAUUGUGAUCUUGAAGAAGAUGGUCUACGGGGCAUUGCUUUGAUGAAUCUAAUUUUCAUUGGCCAUGCUUUUUUAGUUUUGAUCUUGGGUUUAGGUUUGAUUUGCUUAUUGUCAAGCAACAGGAAGUUUAGGUACGGUGAGGCAAGUGGCCCGUUGUUGGCUGAGCUUGGACCGGAGACUAUGCUGAUUCGCUCGUCUCCUGAGAUUGAAAUGGAGUGAAGCUGAUUAUGUUUUUGGCGGGCAGUUUAGUAUGAAGAAAGUCUUCAUCUGGCUAUCAACAUGUAAUGACGGCCUCUGAUGGAUAGCUGCAAUUGUUUCUGCUGUGUUACCUUUGUUUCUAUGCAAGGCCUCACGAACUCCUGUCAAAGAAAAGAAGCACAAGAACUCACACAAGUAAUAGGGGUAAUAUGUCUAUUGAAGUCCAGCACAAAAUACACCCAGAAUGUCCUUGCAUGUUGUUGCUUAAGGUAUGAUGUGAGGAGCAUUAGUUGGUAAAUUUGAUUGUUUUUGGCAUGUGGAUCGAAGUUCCAUUAGUAUCCCCUAAUCACUGUGGCUGGGGCUGGGGCUGGGGCUGGGGCUGCUAUCUUCUAACACAAUGUGUUCUCCUUAGAAAUUGUAUCGUUCAUUGUUUUCUUUUCCUUUCCCAUCUAUACAUAGACAAUUAAUUUUAUGUUGUGUAGCUAGGAGUGGGUAACUGCUGGCCAAUAUUAGUUUACCCAGUACUAGCAGCUUUAUCACAGAAUAUCUCAGAAUUUUCCAUCUUAGCAGGAACUUUCCAAAGAAAUAGUUUACUAGCUGCACAAGCUGCAUAUGGUUAUGAUUUUAGGCAUGAUGCAUACUCUUCGGCUACAUGUCACGACUGCAAAGUAGAGAAUAGGAGGUAUGGCCAAUUUAGUAUGUUGUCUUUGCCUUAGAAGGAAAUUUGACCUACGGUUAUAACAUACUCAAAGUUGGCUUCCUCAUUUCAUCCAAAUAGUUUGAUUUGAGCAGACAUGGCCCUGAUUUGUUGCUGCUCUAUACUAAAAUGAUUUUCUAGCAAGAUAAAAAUAUUGACUGUGCUAGCCAAUGCUUUAUAAACUAUAAACACAAUGUUUUGAGUUGUGAGUAAUAUUUCUGGAAUUCAUUUUCAGAAGUAGAAUAAAAAAUUCUUGUCCUUCUCAAGAAUUGUGUUUGAUGAGAAGCUCAGUUGAUCAAAAUCAGUGUGGCUGAUCAUGAUAACUUACAGGGUAAUGGUGAAUAUUGCAAGUCUUGUAAUGCUUCUUGAGUUCGAUGUUUGUACAGUUGUGGGAUAGUUACAACUGUGCUUCUUUCCUAGACUGAUCUAUGCAGUUCUGACCAACCAAUCUGAGAGGCUUGAAUGCACCAGAUCGUUCUCUUGCAUUUGAGUAUCAGGUAAGCACAAAUUUGAUCUUGACUUUAAUUGUGGCUGAAUUGAAGUUGUGUUUGAACUGAAAAUUGCUGGAGACUUUGCUUGAGUUGAUGUCUUAAUCUUGUUUUGCACCUGAUGUUUAGUGAAUGACCCUGCUUUUGCUUUAGCUGUCCUCCAUUGAGUAAGAUUUUCUACCGGUUUUAGUACAGAAUGAACUUGUUGCCUCCUCUCUACAAUAUUAUCAUUUUCCAAUGCGCAUGAUCUAAACUCAUCAUUGUUCUCAUCAUGAUUUUCAUCAAUUUCACUAUCAUCCAAAUCACUGUCACAAUUUCCAGAAUCGUCAUCUUCUUCAUCAUCAUAACUAUCUUCACAAUUCUGGUAUCUGUGGUUUUGAGGGUAUUUUCCGGAAUUGGAGGUGGUAAAUGCCUUGUUUUGGAGUGGUGUGGAAUCAGUUGUAGCUGUUGUUUCUUGGCAAUGUUCUUCAUUUUUUACCUCUUCAUCACUCUCUAGGAAAUAGUCAUAAUCUGGGACAGGUUCAUAAGUCUGGACGUUUAGAUUAAAGCUAACUUUCUUCCUGACUUUGACCCAAGGCUGCUCCUUAGUUCUAUCCCUGAAAAGGAACUCGGAUCGACAUCAAACGGUAAAGAAAAACAAAGUUUGACUUCAACUAGAAAGUCAGUGAUUCGAAUCUACAAACUUUAUUAAAUUAAAAAGAAAAGAAACAAAGAGGAAGUUGAUAAUCACUCAUCACCUACCUCGGUUUAGAAUUCUUAACCUCGAGUUUCUCGUUUGUAUCGCAAUUUGUAAUUUGAGAGGAAUCUAGAGGCUCAUAACUUAGAUGUAUCUAUCAAAGGAUUUAGAUAAGGAACCAUCAAUCAAACAAUACAACUGAAGGAUGAUAGAGUUAUAAAGUUGAGGCUAUUACUUGGUCGCCAAUUACGACUCCAUCGGGUGGUGAUCGGCGUUUCUUCCUAUGCUUAUGAAAUCCAAAACAAGCAAGAAAACACCCCAUCCGGUACCUAUGGAAGCUCGUGGAAUGGUGAAGAUACAGGUAGGGAAGAAGAGGAAUGAAAGUGUGAAGUUUUAAAAGACAUUUGGCUCCAAAGUAGUUUGAAAAAAGUUGAGAAUAACGUUGGUGUAAUGAAUGCAGUGCCAACCAAGUGGGUCUCUAUACACUUUUUUUAGAGAGAGAAAAAUUCAAAACAUUUCUCAACACUUUUCUUCUGUUUUUUUUUUUCUUUAGAAAAAUCUUCAAUAUAAGUAAAAGACUUGAAUGUCAUUUUUGUCUUU